GACGGGUCGAGCAGUAACGAAAGUUGGAGUUAGUGAUCCGGUGGUAUGUGAGUGGAAAUGCCAUCGCUCAACGGAUAAAAGUUACCCUGGGGAUAACAGGCUGAUCUCCCCCAAGAGUCCACAUCGACGGGGAGGUUUGGCACCUCGAUGUCGGCUCAUCGCAUCCUGGGGCUGUAUUCGGUCCCAAGGGUUUGGCUGUUCGCCAAUUAAAGCGGUACGCGAGCUGGGUUCAGAACGUCGUGAGACAGUUCGGUCCCUAUCUGUCGUGGGCGCAGGAUAUUUGAUGGGAUCUGUCCCUAGUACGAGAGGACCGGGAUGGACGCACCUCUGGUGCACCAGUUGUCACGCCAGUGGCACAGCUGGGCAGCUAUGUGCGGAUUGGAUAAACGCUGAAAGCAUCUAAGCGUGAAGCCAGCCCAAAGAUAAGAUAUCCCACUGAGUUAAUCAGGUAAGACCCCUUGAAGACUACAAGGUUGAUAGGCACAAAGUGGAAGCGCGGUGACGCGUGCAGCUAGUGUGUACUAAUAGGUCGAGGGCUUGACCAC
rnacentral:rRNA from 1 species